GUUUUUUUAUUCAGUUAGUACUUUUGUGUUGUAUUUGACAGUUUUUAAUGGCUUCUUCUGCAGCUGGGAAUGGCUAGUGCAGUGCAGACUGUGUGUGGACAAGC
rnacentral:pre_miRNA from 1 species